GCACCGAAUGCAGCACCUGAAGCAGAUUCAUGCUCCCUCCUGAGCAGGUCGCGCAGACUUAAAAGCUGUACCAGGUCUUCUAAAGACAACAAAACUGCAUUUAAAAGCUCCAAUGAAACUUUUAAAUGCAGCAGAGAAAAACAUGGCCGCUCCUUUCCUGCUCGUCCUGCUUCAUCUGCUGUCAACCUCCGCUGAUGAUUGCCCGAGCCAUCCACAUAACAGUCUCAAUUGUUAUAACGACUACAGUCACAAUAUCAGCUGCACAUGGAAAAGCUCUCAUCACAAGAAUGACACCUGCUCUAUAUAUGCCAAAAUACU